AUUGAACGCUGGCGGCAGGCCUAACACAUGCAAGUCGAGCGAGCGGCGGACGGGUGAGUAAUGUAUGGGGAUCUGCGCGCUAGAGGGGGAUAACUACUGGAAACGGUGGCUAAUACCGCAUACUAUCGGAUGAACCCAUAGGGGAUUAGCUAGUAGGUGGGGUAAAGGCUCACCUAGGCGACGAUCUCUAGCUGGUCUGAGAGGAUGAACAGCCACACUGGGACUGAGACACGGCCCAGACUCCUACGGGAGGCAGCAGUGGGGAAUAUUGCACAAUGGGCGCAAGCCUGAUGCAGCCAUGCCGCGUGUAUGAAGAAGGCCUUAGGGUCGUAAAGUACUUUCAGCGGGGAGGCGUUACCCGCAGAAGAAGCACCGGCUAACUCCGUGCCAGCCGCCGCGGUAAUUC
rnacentral:rRNA from 1 species